rnacentral:rRNA from 1 species
UACGGAGGGGGUUAGCGUUGUUCGGAAUGACUGGGCGUAAAGCGCGCGUAGGCGGAUCAGGAAGUUGGGGGUGAAAUCCCGGGGCUCAACCCCGGAAUGGCCUUCAAAACUCCUGGUCUUGAGUUCGAGAGAGGUGAGUGGAAUUCCGAGUGUAGAGGUGAAAUUCGUAGAUAUUCGGAGGAACACCAGUGGCGAAGGCGGCAUCACUG